rnacentral:lncRNA from 1 species
CUCCCAUUGCGUUCGAAGUUGUUUUGCCGCUGUCCUUUCCCUUUCACAUCCUCACAGCUGCUUGACAAGCCCUCCUCUUCUUCUUAAUCGUAUUUCCUUGUAAUACCUAGGAACGAAGGAAUAGAGCCCCAUUUUACUAUUCAAAAGCACCGUUAACGGGCUCUUUUUCUAUUUCCCUUGGCAGCAGGAAGCCGUGCAAUGGGUGGCGGCC